GAGCCGAAGUCAGGUGCUCAACCGACUGAGCCACCCAGGUGCCCCUAAAGAUAGAACUUUAAAUUGUAAGAUACACAUUUGCUUCCUCCAGUAAUUGAAAUUUACUUAUUGAUUUAUCAGGACAUUGUGCAUAUACAUCAUGUAAGUCUUUACUAGGAUUUUUUAUCAUAAUCCCAGCUAAUGCAGAGCCUGGCACAUGGUAAUAGUGCAUGUGGGAGGGAGAAACUUUUUUUUUUAAUUUUUAAUGUUUAUUCAUUUUUGAGAGACAGAGAGUGAGGAGGAGAGGGGCAGAGAGAGAGAGGAAGACACAGAAUCAGAAGCAGGCUCCAGGCUCUGAGCUGUCAGCACAGAGCCUGAUGCGGGGCUCGAACUCACAAGCCGUGAGAUCAUGACCUGAACUGAAGUCAGAUACUUAACUAACUGAGCCACCCAGGUGCCUCAAGAAGCUUCUUAAUCUAGACCUGGAAGUUUAGGAAGUGAAAACAGUAUUUUACAGUCUGUAAUGAUAGGUGGAAGGAAGUAUUUGAGGAGCUUCUGGAAAUGGGGAGUGAUUCCUCAGAGACUAGGCAGGAGGGAGGGCAUUAAAAGGAGCAAUUUGUGGGUCAGGAUUGGAGUUGAUAGCUUCCGCGUGACUCUUAGCUCAUGAGUUUUCUUCUGACCCAUCCCACUACCCAAGUUUCCUCUAGUCUGAUGUAUGUGCUCCUCCCCUUUGCUUAUCUGUCAUACCUGUAUGUUCUCUGUGACAACACUCAGCCUACUGUCCUCUGGAUGAAAGUCCUGGCAGAGCAAAAAUAACCUCUUGGAGUAGUGAUGUCUCUCUUCCAGAGCACUCCACGACACCACUUCUCAGCUACCACUGCUCAGUGGCUAAAGUGAUUGAUUUUGAGGAAUUGGAAAAAAAGAGCGUAUCUGCAUCCCAGUGACCAGAAAGUGUGUUAACUUACUGAAGCAGUAAAACCAUACCUGGUACAGUAGCUACAACUGGAGUCGCUGCCUGGUUAAGCUUAUGAUAAUCCGCCAUCAUUCUCCAAUAGCCUUCUGUCUUCUGCACAGGCCACGUAGUUGCCACGCCCACCUUGCGCCUGGAGGCUGAAUGCUGCCACUUGGCCCUGCCAGCCCGGGGUUCCAAUUACUUCCAUUGCAUCUAGGUUUCCCAAGUCAGUGACCUAGUCCCUACUAAGGUCUGGCCUACAGAAAAGAAUAGGCUAAGAACACCUCUACACUCAUCAUGAGUCACCUAGAAAUCCUGCAAGGAACCUUCAGAUAGUACAAGGAGCUUUACUUCUCACGUACAGAAGGCCGUCCUGCCGUAACUCUGGUUAUCAGUAUCCACUUGGAAAUGAGGGACAAGGGGAGCCUUUCAAGCGCAGUCAUCUAUUGUUUCCUGGAGCUGAGCAUAUGUGAUGAGAACAGCCUUGGUCAGAACCAUGCAAGCAGCCGAAUAGUCUUUGUGUCGCAGGAAUGGGACGCUUGGAUUUUAGUCACCUUCUUUACUUGUAUAAGCCACAGAAACAAAAGCUAAACCUGGGAUGGAAGUCAUUGAACUGACCUUGGAAGCCAUUUGUUGAAGAUGGCAGAGCUGUGUCAGCUUGGCUCACUGAACGCCUGGGCGAAACAGAGUCUCCUGUUGCAGUGAGAACAGUAUCAGCCGCUACAUUGCGUUUAUUAUAGUGGCUGUCGGUUCCCCCAUACAGGGUCUUUUCUUUUCCCAAAGCUGUCCCCAAAUAUUUGUUGAACACUGACUAUGUGUUAGGCCCCCACUAUGUGCGAGAAUAAAAACAAGAAUGAAUGAUUCUCAGUCUCUGUCUUUAAGGAGUUUAUAGCUAGGUCCAACAGAUAAGACACCUUGUGAUAAAAAACUAUACAGGCAUGCUCUCGCCAGACCAUGGUCAACCUAUAACCCGAAGGUUAUAGGAAGAAAGAGAGGUUCCUUUCAACUAUAGUGAGCUAGAGAGUCCCAUGAAGGAGCUGGGUUAGAAAGGUGGAGAGAUGCAAGGAAGACAUUCCGGACGGGCAAGUGCAGUGUGUAUUUUGAGAUUGGGGGAGGUGAUAGUGAGCUCACAAGUUUGGACAGACUAAAACAAUUUGUUUUGGACCAGGGAGUAGCAGUAGUUACCUCUGGACAAGUUGUUGGGAUGUGACUGGGGCAACGUCUUGAAUACCAGAGCGCCUUGGGAGUUGGUUUCUCCCGGCAGCCAGUGAGGAGCUGUCUAAGGCAACAUCAUUGCAUACCACUGUGAAUCUUCCAGUUUGCAUGUAGUAACCCAAGCAACAUUUUGUUUGUUCACAGAUUUGUUGUCCUGGCACCUCGUAGGAAGCUGUGAGAAAUUUACUUCAGUCUCUAAAGUACAGUUUUCUACAAAUAGCUGGUUUGUGUACCGGGGGCCUACGGCCAUUCCACAGAGCCAGCUUCAGAGGAACAAACACAUGGAUGGUUGUGUCAAUGGCUCAACCCUUUCCUUUUAACUCCACCUUUAAAACAAACUUCCUGUCAUCUCCCUAGGAAGAUUUUCUACAUUUUCUACACCAGUGACUUCUUACUGCACCUGUCUUUGUGUAAUUACUUCUUUUAAAAAAACACAAGUAAACUUUGCAUGUUUAAUCUCA